rnacentral:rRNA from 1 species
UACGUAGGGGGCAAGCGUUGUCCGGAUUUAUUGGGCGUAAAGAGCGUGUAGGCGGUCAGGUAGGUCAGCUGUGAAAACUCGAGGCUCAACCUCGAGACGCCGGUUGAAACCAUCUGACUAGAGUCCGGAAGAGGAGAGUGGAAUUCCUGGUGUAGCGGUGAAAUGCGCAGAUAUCAGGAAGAACACCCGUGGCUAAAGGCGGCUCUCUAGUACGGUACUGACGCUGAGACGCGAAAGCGUGGGGAGCGAACAGG